rnacentral:rRNA from 1 species
AUUGAACGCUGGCGGCAGGCCUAACACAUGCAAGUCGAGCGAGCGGCGGACGGGUGAGUGAUGUCUGGGAAACUGCCUGAUGGAGGGGGAUAACUACUGGAAACGGUAGCUAAUACCGCAUACCAUCGGAUGUGCCCAGAUGGGUUUCGCUAGUAGGUGGGGUAAAGGCUCACCUAGGCGACGAUCCCUAGCUGGUCUGAGAGGAGGACCAGCCACACUGGAACGGAGACACGGUCCAGACUCCAACGGGAGGCAGCAGUGGGGAAGAUUGCACAAUGGGCGCAAGCCUGAUGCAGCCAUGCCGCGGGUAUGAAGAAGGCCUUCGGGUUGUAAAGUACUUUCAGCGGGGAGGCGUUACCCGCAGAAGAAGCACCGGCUAACUCCGUGCCAGCAGCCGCGGUAAUUC